UUAAUCUUUUUUUUUUUUUCCAUUUCUUUUCGUUUAAUUUCUUGUCUGCUUUUUAUGAGCUGGAGUCCUUGUAGAUCGUUGUUAUUAUGUGGACGGGCUUGUAGUUCUUUGUUCAUCUUAAAUAAGAGGGAGCCAGAAUAGGUAGGUCCGUAGGUGAGGGUUUUCAUUGGUAUUACUUUCAAGCUACUGUCUGAGAGAGUGAAAUUCAAGUGAAAACGAGAAGAUGCCUUGCCUGAACCUUUCGACCAACGUUAGCCUGGACGGCGUUGACACUUCCGCCAUCCUCUCUGAAGCCACGUCCACCGUCGCCAAGAUCAUCGGCAAGCCCGAGGCCUAUGUGAUGAUUGUGUUAAAGGGAUCGGUACCCAUAGCAUUUGGUGGAACUGAGCAGCCAGCAGCUUAUGGUGAGUUGGUGUCCAUUGGAGGCCUUGGCCCUGAUGUGAACAAGAAACUGAGUGCUGCAAUUUCGGCAAUCCUCGAAACAAAGUUGUCAGUGUCCAAGUCACGAUUCUUCCUCAAAUUUUAUGACACUAAGGGUUUCAACUUUGGAUGGAAUGGUACCACCUUCUAAGGCCUGCAUCUUGUCUUGGUUGCCCACAAGCUCAAUUUCAUGCAUUUAGACAGCAAUAUUCCCAUGGUGAUUUGGUAUAAUAAGACUUGGCUAUUGUAGUAUGUUACAUUGUUUCUGUUUCUCCUUAGACACGUGAUAUGUGGAAUACUAGAUGGUUCAACUCUAUGCUUCUUUUGGGAAAAAGAAAAACCUUUAUUUUCACUUGGCAUUAGCCAAUGCUGUUAUGGUACUCGGAUAUUUACGAGUGAACUCACUCUCUUCUCUAGCUAUGCAUUUUGAAUAACUGUUGUGUUGCUUUGUGAGAACUGGCAUGCAUCUGAUGUGAACUGGCUAGGGUUCUUGUUGAAUUCCUCGACAUUUUCCAGGGCCCAUAGCACUUGUGAGGGAAGUCAAACAUUUAAAAUUUCAAAAUAAUUUUGCUUGCCUCUUUAUCUUGGGAACAAAUCUUACCAACUUAAGUUCUUGAUCCUUGAUCAUAAUCUUAUGUCUGGAAAGAUUCCGGUGACCCUUAGCAAUUUGGCUUUGCUUCAGGAGAUUUCUGUCAUAAUCAGAUUUCCGGGAGCAUGCCUAAUGAACUGUGGAGGCUGUCAGGACUACAAAAGCUUGAUUUUUCAAAUAAUGCUCUCAAUGGGUCCACCUAGCUUUUUCCACCUCUCUUCUCUAGUCUCGUAGAAUUUAGAGGGCAAUCGCCUGGACAACCAGUUCCCAGAAGUUGUGGACGGAUUGAAGGACCUCUCAGUGCUCAACCCGAAGAUCAAUCAAUUCAGAGGCCGUACCCCAUCAACUAUUGGAAAUAUCUCUAGUAUCAAUCGGCUAGAUUAAUCACAAAAUAAUUUUGCUGGAGAAUUUCCACCUUCGCUUGCUGCCUGUCCGACCUCACUUAUUUCAAUGUUUCUUACAACAAUCUCUGUCGCGUCUGGUCGAAAGAACUUUCAAUUCAACCUCAGAAAUUCCUGAUAUAAUGAAUCU
rnacentral:misc_RNA from 1 species